UCCCAGGUGGCCUAGUGGGUUAAGGAUCCAGCAUUGCCUCUGCUGUGGCAUGGGUUCAAUCCCCGGUCUGGGAC
rnacentral:tRNA from 1 species